rnacentral:rRNA from 1 species
CUCCUACGGGAGGCUGCAGUAGGGAAUCUUCCACAAUGGGCGAAAGCCUGAUGGAGCAACGCCGCGUGUGUGAUGAAGGCUUUCGGGUCGUAAAGCACUGUUGUAUGGGAAGAACAGCUAGAAUAGGGAAUGAUUUUAGUUUGACGGUACCAUACCAGAAAGGGACGGCUAAAUACGUGCCAGCAGCCGCGGUAAUACGUAUGUCCCGAGCGUUAUCCGGAUUUAUUGGGCGUAAAGCGAGCGCAGACGGUUGAUUAAGUCUGAUGUGAAAGCCCGGAGCUCAACUCCGGAAUGGCAUUGGAAACUGGUUAACUUGAGUGCAGUAGAGGUAAGUGGAACUCCAUGUGUAGCGGUGGAAUGCGUAGAUAUAUGGAAGAACACCAGUGGCGAAGGCGACUUACUGGACUGUAACUGACGUUGAGGCUCGAAAGUGUGGGUAGCAAACAGGAUUAGAUACCCUGGUAGUCCACACCGUAAACGAUGAACACUAGGUGUUAGGAGGUGUCCGCCUCUUAGUGCCGAAGCUAACGCAUUAAGUGUUCCGCCUGGGGAGUACGACCGCAAGGUUGAAACUCAAAGGAAUUGACGGGGACCGCACAAGCGGUGGAGCAUGUGGUUUAAUUCGAAGCAACGCGAAGAACCUUACCAGGUCUUGACAUCCUUUGAAGCUUUCAGAGAUAGAAGUGUUCUCUUCGGAGACAAAGUGACAGGUGGUGCAUGGUCGUCGUCAGCUCGUGUCGUGAGAUGUUGGGUUAAGUCCCGCAACGAGCGCAACCCUUAUUGUUAGUUGCCAGCAUUCAGAUGGGCACUCUAGCGAGACUGCCGGUGACAAACCGGAGGAAGGCGGGGACGACGUCAGUUCAUCAUGCCCCUUAUGACCUGGGCUACACACGUGCUACAAUGGCGUAUACAACGAGUUGCCAACCCGCGAGGGUGAGCUAAUCUCUUAAAGUACGUCUCAGUUCGGAUUGUAGUCUGCAACUCGACUACAUGAAGUCGGAAUCGCUAGUAAUCGCGGAUCAGCAGGCCGCGGUGAAUACGUUCCCGGGUCUUGUACACACCGCCCGUCACACCAUGGGAGUUUGUAAUGCC